rfam:Ictidomys tridecemlineatus contig025938, whole genome shotgun sequence.
GUGGCUGUGGCUUAGUGGUAGAGCACUCACCUAGCAUCAGUGAGUCACUGAGUUCUAUCCUCAGCACCACA